AAAUGAAACUUUUGUCCAUAAAAUUAAAGUGUCACUACACCAGAUAUUCUGGCAAUGGCUGCAGAAACAACAUCAUAUCUAGGGGGAAGAGAAUAGAAGAAAUACAAUAUGGGGUUUCUUGAAUUCUCGUUUGCAGCUAAUCUAUAUGCAAUUGCAAGAUCUCAACACCUGCAGGGAAGAGAAAAAUUGAUAGGACAGAGAGAGACGUCAGUACUUUACGGAUCCCUGUGGUCGACUGGUUCCACAGCAACAUUGCUCUGCAAUGAAGA
rnacentral:lncRNA from 1 species